rnacentral:rRNA from 1 species
UACAGAGGGGGCAAGCGUUGUUCGGAAUUACUGGGCGUAAAGGGCGCGUAGGCGGCCUUCUAAGUCGCACGUGAAAUCCCCGGGCUCAACCCGGGAACUGCGUCCGAUACUGGAAGGCUUGAAUCCGGGAGAGGGAUGUGGAAUUCCAGGUGUAGCGGUGAAAUGCGUAGAUAUCUGGAGGAACACCGGAGGCGAAAGCGGGCCACUGGGCAACUUCUGACGCUGAGGUGCGAAAGCUAGGGUAGCAAACGGG